CAGCAGCCGCGGGAAUACGAAGGGGGCUAGCGUUGCUCGGAAUGACUGGGCGUAAAGGGCGCGUAGGCGGUUCGUACAGUUGGAUGUGAAAUUCCUGGGCUUAACCUGGGGGCUGCAUUCAAUACGUGCGGGCUUGAGUGUGGAAGAGGGUUGUGGAAUUCCCAGUGUAGAGGUGAAAUUCGUAGAUAUUGGGAAGAACACCGGUGGCGAAGGCGGCAGCCUGGUCCAUAACUGACGCUGAGGCGCGAAAGCGUGGGGAGCAAACAGGAUUAGAUACCCCGGUAGUCCCUGUCUCUUAUAA
rnacentral:rRNA from 1 species